rnacentral:rRNA from 1 species
CUCGAUGGACAACGGGUUGAUAUUCCCGUACCCGCUUCAAUGCGCCCAUAUCGAACCCCUUGAUACUAAGAGUCCUUAAGUCCGCUGGUCCUUCGGGACUGGUGUGAGGCUAAACGCUCGGCCUGAUUGGGUAGUAGGUAAGCGAUGGGGUGACGCAGGAAGGUAGUCCAGCCCAGGCGAUGGUUGUCCUGGGGUAAGCAUGUAGGGAGUGGGGUAGGUAAAUCCGCCUCACAUUAAUCCUGAGAUGUGAUGCCGAGCCGAUUGUGGUGAAGUGGAUGAUCCUAUGCUGCCGAGAAAAGCCUCUAGUGAGUGUUGUGGCGGCCCGUACCCUAAACCGACUCAGGUGGUCAGGUAGAGAAUACUAAGGCGAUCGGGUGAACUGUGGUUAAGGAACUCGGCAAAUUGCCCCCGUAACUUCGGGAGAAGGGGGACCUCUGCUGGUGAUGAGUCUUGCACUCGGAGCUGGUGGUGGUCGCAGUGGCCAGGGGGAAGCGACUGUUUACUAAAAACACAGGUCCGUGCGAAGUCGUAAGACGAUGUAUACGGACUGACGCCUGCCCGGUGCCGGAACGUUAAGGGGACCGCUUAGUCAGGAUUCGUCCUGGCGAAGGUGAGAACUUAAGCGCCGGUAAACGGCGGUGGUAACUAUAACCAUCCUAAGGUAGCGAAAUUCCUUGUCGGGUAAGUUCCGACCUGCACGAAUGGCGUAACGACUUCUCCGCUGUCUCAACCGCAGACCCGGCGAAAUUGCACUACGAGUAAAGAUGCUCGUUACGCGCAGCAGGACGGAAAGACCCCGGGACCUUCACUACAGCUUGACAUUGGCGUUUGGAACGUCUUGUGUAGGAUAGGUGGGAGACUGGGAAGCUCGGACGCUAGUUCGGGUGGAGUCAUUGGUGAAAUACCACUCUGGUCGUUUUGAACGUCUAACUCUGGUCCGUGAUCCGGAUCGGGGACAGUGUCUGGUGGGUAGUUUAACUGGGGCGGUUGCCUCCUAAAGAGUAACGGAGGCGCCCAAAGGUUCCCUCAGCCUGGUUGGCAAUCAGGUGUCGAGUGUAAGUGCACAAGGGAGCUUGACUGUGAGACUGACGGGUCGAGCAGGAGCGAAAGCUGGGACUAGUGAUCCGGCAUCGGCAUGUGGAAGCGGUGUCGCUCAACGGCUAAAAGGUACCCCGGGGAUAACAGGCUGAUCUUCCCCAAGAGUCCAUAUCGACGGGAUGGUUUGGCACCUCGAUGUCGGCUCGUCGCAUCCUGGGGCUGGAGUAGGUCCCAAGGGUUGGGCUGUUCGCCCAUUAAAGUGGUACGCGAGCUGGGUUUAGAACGUCGCGAGACAGUUCGGUCCCUAUCCGCUGCGCGCGCAGGAGACUUGAAAGGAGCUGUCCCUAGUACGAGAGGACCGGGACGGACGAACCUCUGGUGUGCCAGUUGUACCGCCAGGUGCACGGCUGGUUGGCUACGUUCGGAAGGGAUAACCGCUGAAAGCAUCUAAGCGGGAAGCUCGCCUUGAGAUGAGGUCUCCCUCCACGAGGGUGGGUAAGGCCCCCGGUAGACGACCGGGUUGAUAGGCAGGAGGUGGAAGCACGGUAACGUGUGGAGCUGACCGGUACUAAUAGGCCGAGGACUUGACC